rnacentral:rRNA from 1 species
GCGUAAAGCGCGCGCAGGUGGUUUCUUAAGUCUGAUGUGAAAGCCCACGGUUCAACCAAUGGAGGGUCAUUGGAAACUGGGAGACUUGAGUGCACACCUAAGAAAGUGGAAUUCCAUGUGUAGCGGUGAAAUGCGUAGAGAUAUGGAAGGAACACCAGUGGCGAAGGCGACUUUCCUCUGUAACUGACACUGAGGCGCGAAAGCGUGGGGAGCAAACAGGUUAGUACCCUGGUAGUCCACGCCGUAAACGAUGAGUGCUAAGUUUAAGGGUUUCCGCCCUUUAGUGCUGAAGUUAACGCAUAAGC